rnacentral:rRNA from 1 species
GCCCAAUGGACGAAAGUCUGAGGCAGCAACUCCGCGUGAGGGACGAAGGCUCUCGGGUCGUAAACCUCUUUUCUCAGGGAAGAUCCAAGACGGUACCUGAGGAAUAAGCCACGGCUAACUACGUGCCAGCAGCCGCGGUAAUACGUAGGUGGCAAGCGUUGUCCGGAUUUACUGGGCGUAAAGAGCGCGCAGGCGGCUGGUCAAGUCCGAUGUGAAAUCUCCCGGCUCAACUGGGAAACUGCAUCGGAAACUGAUCGGCUUGAAGGUGGGAGAGGGUAGUGGAAUUCCCGGUGUAGUGGUGAAAUGCGUAGAUAUCGGGAGGAACACCAGUGGCGAAGGCGACUACCUGGCCCACUCUUGACGCUGAGGCGCGAAAGCUAGGGGAGCGAACGGGAUUAGAUACCCCGGUAGUCCUAGCCGUAAACGAUGAACACUAGGCGUAGUCGGUAUCGACCCCGGCUGUGCCGUAGCCAACGCAUUAAGUGUUCCGCCUGGGGAGUACGGCCGCAAGGCUA